GAGGGUAUAUCUCAGUGGUAGAGUGCAUGCUUAGCAUGCACAAGGUCCUGGGUUCAAUCCCCAGUACCUCCA
rnacentral:tRNA from 1 species